rnacentral:rRNA from 1 species
CCUACGGGAGGCAGCAGUGGGGAAUUUUCCGCAAUGGGCGAAAGCCUGACGGAGCAAUACCGCGUGAGGGAGGAAGGCUCUUGGGUUGUAAACCUCUUUUUUCAGGGAAGAUAAUGACGGUACCUGAGGAAUAAGCAUCGGCUAACUCCGUGCCAGCAGCCGCGGUAAUACGGAGGAUGCAAGCGUUAUCCGGAAUGAUUGGGCGUAAAGCGUCCGCAGGUGGUUUUAAAAGUCUGUUGUUAAAGCGUGAGGCUUAACCUCAUAAGGGCAAUGGAAACUGUAAGACUAGAGUACGUUCGGGGCAAGGGGAAUUCCCAGUGUAGCGGUGAAAUGCGUAGAGAUUGGGAAGAACACCGGUGGCGAAAGCGCCUUGCUAGGCCGUAACUGACACUGAGGGACGAAAGCUAGGGGAGCGAAUGGGAUUAGAUACCCCAGUAGUCCUAGCCGUAAACGAUGGAUACUAGGCGUUGUCUGUAUCGACCCGGACAGUGCCGUAGCUAACGCGUUAAGUAUCCCGCCUGGGAGUACGCACGCAAGUGUGAACUCAAAUGAAUUGACGG